rnacentral:lncRNA from 1 species
CUCUGGGGAGCCGGGCUCUGGGCACUGGCGAAGGUGUACCGGGGGCGGCGGCCGAGCGGCCAAGGACACCUGCAGGCUUCCCGGGCCGCGCGGAGAGGGAGCCUCAGCGCAACGCCCCGGCGCCUGGUUCCUGCGAUCUGGCGGCGCUGGGAGCCACGCCAUCUACGCGUCUGCCCAUCUCCGGGCGGGGCGCCGGCCUUGGCUCGCGCGCGGCAGGGGGCGGGCGCGAGGUGGCAUAGGGGAGGGGGCGCCUCGGCGCCGGUGGGCUGGGGCCCUAGGGGCUCAUGGUCUCCCUCCGGCGCUGGCAGCGGCCGCCACGCCCCAGUGGCGCCUUUUCCUCCGGGGCCCCGCCUCGCCCAGACGCGCCCUUCGCGGGGCGGGGUGGGCGGGGCGCGGCGCAGCGCGGGGCCGAUCCGACUCACUGCAGGCCCUGGCGACCGAGCGCAGUCUUCCUCCCCGGAGCCGAGCCCCAACCAAGCGCGUCACCUCCUCGCCGCCAGUGCCCAGCCCAGCGCGCCGCCCCUGCGCGCUUCCGCCGGCAACCCCUCCCGCCCCCCUCAGCCCUGCUCCGCGCCUCCCCCGGGCCCGCAGCUCCUCCCACCGCAGCCCGCUGACACCGAAGCGCUCUCGACCCCUGACCUCUAACCUCCGCCCGGCUCUUCUUGCUUCGUCCCUCGCCCCCUCCCCGCCAAGCUGGUCGCACUGUUGCCGUUUCACUGCGGCUGACGGAAGGCCAAGGAAGAAAGAGGGUAGAGACGCUGUCGCGAGGAUCAGGCUGCCCUCUCCUUUCCCAGGGACCGUGUUGGGGCCUUCUGACCACCCCGCCCCGCAUCCUGCGCCUCGGAGGCCCAACGUAGCCCAAGACACCCAUGGUCUUGAUGCUCUCCGCCUCUGUCCCAGCCACCAAAGUCCCCGCGAUGGAAUGGAGGACGGGGUGGCCUUGGGCAGAGAAGCGCUUCUUGUGCCGGAUGGAAGGAAACCGUAGCUCUGGCUGUGUUCAUCGCGAAAUGUUUUAUGGAUGUGGAGUGGGUGGGUGGCCCUGAAAAGUCAUUAGUUAAAGCCUUUGCUCGUCAUUGCUCUGGGGUCCACAUAGGAAAUGCCCGUGUCCUGCCUCAUGACCCCUUCCUGUUUCUACUCUUAUUCUACCCAUUACAAUUUGACUUUGCCUGUGUAUAUGUCUCCUCUCCCCUCCCUAACCCUGAGCUCCUGCAGGCGGCAUUGUGCUUUUUCAUCUUGAUAGCUCCCACAGUGCCUGCCUCUGAGAACCUGUUUGCUAAGUGAUUGAGAAGCUGCCAUACCCAAAACGUAGGCACCAACAGGACUUUACUGGCCCUAUCCCAAGAGCAAUUUCCAGAUUCAUUUGUUUUUGUUAAGUCCAGCUUCAGGCAGCCUCCAUGCCUGUCUGGAUGAUGUAAAGAGAUCUUGAGGCAGAAAUGAAAGGUGAAUGACACACCUGCCCUGGACACCUGUGCACCUUCCCAGUUCCAGAUCAGGCAGUACCUAGCUCAACUGAGAAAAACAAGACAAGGGCCUAUGUGUGUCUCAGGAAAGGUUAAAAGCUCAGUGCCAAUGCAAGGGAUUUUUACAAGCAAAAGUCUCAUUAUUAAUGAGGCCAGAAAACCAAAAUGACAAUGAUCUUUGAUGAUCUGUACUGACACGCAGGGGAGGUGAGUUAAUCAGAAACACACAUUUACUGGCACCCCCUUUGUGCCCAGUCCCUGCUCCUCGAAACUGAUGUUUGUAUUUCAGAGUUUAGCUGUCUUUGAGUUUGCUGCAGUGAAAAGAAAUAUCCCAAGUGUGACUGGGAAGAGAAGACCCGGGACAGGCCAGAAACUGGAGUGAGGAAGAAAGAACCACAGAAUAUUAAUGUAAUGAAUAACUUUCAAGUCCUAUCUGGUCCGUGUCCUGGCAAAGUCCCUUGGGGUCUCUCCCCUGCUUUCCGUUCAUCAGGAUGACUGAGCUCAGUAAUUGUAACAAAGGGAGUGUAGUAGGCAAGGGGACAAAACCCAUAGUAUCCCACCCCUGAUUGACUUAUUAACUCAAUGAACACUUAUUGAAUACCUACGAUAUGCCAGAAGCAGUUCCGGGUACUGGAAAUACAUCAGUGAAUAAAACAGCCACUCAUCCUAGUAAAUCUGCCCAACUGGUGCUUCCACUCUGCGGUGCUUGUGGAUAGUGA